rnacentral:rRNA from 1 species
UGAGGAAUAUUGGACAAUGGGCGAAAGCCUGAUCCAGCCAUGCCGCGUGUGUGAAGAAGGUCUUCGGAUUGUAAAGCACUUUAAGUUGGGAGGAAGGGUUGUAGAUUAAUACUCUGCAAUUUUGACGUUACCGACAGAAUAAGCACCGGCUAACUCUGUGCCAGCAGCCGCGGUAAUACAGAGGGUGCAAGCGUUAAUCGGAAUUACUGGGCGUAAAGCGCGCGUAGGUGGUUUGUUAAGUUGGAUGUGAAAUCCCCGGGCUCAACCUGGGAACUGCAUCCAAAACUGGCAAGCUAGAGUAUGGUAGAGGGUGGUGGAAUUUCCUGUGUAGCGGUGAAAUGCGUAGAUAUAGGAAGGAACACCAGUGGCGAAGGCGACCACCUGGACUGAUACUGACACUGAGGUGCGAAAGCGUGGGGAGCAAACAGGAUUAGAUACCCCCGUAGUCCCUGAGCGGGCUGGCAAGGCGCAU